GGAGAUUCAGGACUCCUUCAGAACGAUUCUACAGAGAGAGAAAAAAAAAAUGUGGCCAGAGACUUGAGCAGGAUGUGUGAAGGGAUUUAAUAAUGGGACUUGUGUAAACAGUAGACUUCAGGGACCAGACUGGCGGCUUGAAGAAAGCUAUUUUCUCGUACCAAAUACAUUCCAUUUCCUAAAGACAGGGUCUCCAUCUGUUACCCAAGCUGAAGAGCAAUGGGAUGAUCAUAACUCACUGCAGCCUCAGACUCCUGGGCUCAAGUGAUCCUCCCACCUCACCCUCCCAAGUAGCUGGACCUAUAGACAUGCACUGUCAUGCCUGGGCCCCAGGUACUGAAGAUAAGAAAAGAAUAUAGAGAAGUUUUUCUUCUGACAGAUUUGCUGGAAGCCAGGUUGCUAUCGCUAGUAACAAUCCAGGAAGCUAACGGAUAACUUCUGUAACAACUGGCCCCACACGGCCAGGACUUGAUUAAUAACUGACAUCUACCCUAAUUUUUGUGCCUACAUCCAAUUUAAGACCAAACAGAGAAAGCGAAACAUGCACCCCUAACCGAUCAUGCAGUAUGCCCCUACUUCUGUUUAGCCCGCUUACAGCUUCUCCAUGGCAACAGCCUCCAAUCAGGAUACACCUGAACCCUUCCGUCCCCACCCACCACCCCACUAUAAAGUGUUCUCAUUUCUCUGCCUUUGAAUCACUGCCAAAACACAGCGACAGUAGUUGACUCCCUUGCAGUAUAGCAGGCUGUGAAAAAAUAGCAUUUGCUUUUCUCAUUUGAUUGGUCAUUUAUUUCUAUAACCAUGUGUUUCAUUCAUGCAAUUCAGAAGUUUCUUUGGAAUAACUUGUACAGUAAACUAAACAAUAUUUAUUUGC